GGCUUUUCUUGUUUCUGAACGAGUUGAAGUCUCAACCAAAAGCCCCAAGUCUGACAAGCAAUAUGUCUGGGUCGGAGAGGCCAAUUCUAGCACAUAUACCAUUCGAGAGGAGACUGAUCCUGCAAAACAACUUCCUAGGGGAACCCGUCUCACUCUAUAUCUUAAGAGGGAUGACAAAGGAUAUGCACAUCCGGAAAGAGUAGAAAAGCUUGUGAAAAACUAUUCACAGUUUGUUUCAUUCCCUAUUUACACAUGGCAAGAGAAGGGAUUUACAAAAGAGGUUGAAGUUGAUGAAGAUCCAUCAGAAGCCAAGAAGGAAGGAGAAGAUGAGACAGCUGAGAAAAAGAAGAAAACUAAAAAAGUUGUGGAGAAAUAUUGGGACUGGGAGCUUACAAAUGAGACUCAGCCAAUUUGGCUUCGAAGCCCUAAGGAAGUGAGUAAAGAGGAUUAUAAUGAGUUCUACAAAAAGACUUUUAAUGAAUAUCUGGAGCCUCUUGCUUCUUCACACUUCACAACCGAGGGAGAAGUAGAGUUCCGGUCUGUACUUUUUGUGCCAUCUGUAUCUGGAAUGGGUAAGGAUGACAUGAUAAAUCCCAAGACAAAGAAUAUAAGGCUAUAUGUGAAGCGAGUUUUUAUAUCUGACGACUUUGAUGGUGAACUGUUCCCACGCUACCUAAGUUUUAUCAAAGGUGUAGUUGACUCAAAUGAUCUUCCCCUUAAUGUAUCACGAGAGAUUCUUCAAGAAAGUCGCAUUGUUCGCAUCAUGAGGAAGCGGUUGGUGCGGAAAGCGUUUGAAAUGAUUCAGGGCAUUGCUCUCAGUGAAAACAGAGAUGACUACGAGAAGUUCUGGGAGAACUUUGGGAAGCACCUAAAGUUGGGAUGCAUUGAAGAUCGUGAAAACCACAAGCGUAU
rnacentral:misc_RNA from 1 species